AUGGUAUUGGAGAUGGAGAAGGUGCCAUUGAAAUGAGAAUGAGAAAAGCUAACGUUGGAAGAAAAAGAGAAUUCAACUUGCACACGAAACUGAUACAGAAAUCAAGAUAUGAGAUGGAAGACUACAAACUCUUUGAGGACAGAAUGAACUCCAAUUGGACUUAUUCAAGAAAAUGUCAGAGAGAGAUUCAUGAAUCUGUAGAAAAAGCUCUUGAAGAAUGUUCAAAAACUGUUGUUCAUCAGGUGCAUUAGGUUUGGGAGAAAAACCAGACAAGGAAGACUGCCUCUUCUUUCAAAAAUUGGUAGAGAAAAAUUUAAAAAGGAAGUGUUAUGAGGAGACAUACAUUUAUUAUAGCACUUACCGUGCCUAAUGAAAUUUGCAUUAGAAAGAUGAUCUUCGUAUAGAGACAGCAUUACAGGAAUCAACUUUGCAAAAGAUUAUUUGUGCCUUGAAUACUGCCGGAUAUAUUGCUUUGCUUCUAAACUUUUAAUGUUUUUCUGUGAUACGAUUCUCCUAUUUUAACUAUUUCAGUGAAUAUUUCAUUUGUUUGACCAUCUAAAACAAGAUGUGCUUUUGUCUUAGAAUAUUUUUUUCUCAUAUGUAAAGUAUUUAAUGAAGCGAUUAAUAGACUGACAGUAAUUAUUUUUUAAAUGGUAACAACUUUACGUUUGAUACUUUAGGCAUGGCACUUCAGAUUUCAAAUUACAGAUCUGGUGGUAGCAUUCUUAGUAUUUUAAAUUGUAUUUUGUAGGACAUAUUCUGACUUCCCAAAAAUAUUACAAAAAGUUCUUGUUGGGAUUUCACUGUUCAAAAUGAGAAUUAUCAGAAAAAUAGUAAGCCAAUGCAAUUAAAAAGAAUAAGAAAAGGAAAGUUUAUUUUUCAAAAUUAUGAAUUUGACUAAAAUUCUCACCUAUGGAAAUUUAUCUAAUUUGACUAUUUUUGACUGCAAACAUAAAAUCUAUCUUGCAUUUUCUACAAUAAUAAUGAAUGAUUCAGAUUUAAAAAUUACAGAAAACAUACAGCGUUCCGGUAUGUAAUGAUGACCACACCUAGAAUGAUGAAUGCAGCAGAUCAUAGUUAGAAUUCACUAGUCAAGAGCACUCUGAAAACAGCUUCAUGGAUAAGUUUGUGUGGAUCAGUUCUGAAAACUAGCUUAAAUCUAUAAAGUAAAUACUUGAUGAUACACACAAACUUUCUAUCUUGAAUGCCAAAAUAUCCCAGGCUUACCUACUUAUAGAAAUAUUUUAAUAUUUCCUAACCUUUAUACUUUAUUCUUGAUUGAAUUCAGUAUUGGUAUUAUUAUUGUCUUUGAAAUGAGAAUCCUUAAGAAAAUAAAGUUAUGUUGGAAAGCAA